GCCGCGUCCCGGCCGGAGCGGGUGGGAAGGGCGUCCGAGCUGCGUGACGUGACGUGUGUUAAACGUUCUGUGCCGGCCGUGGUGUGCUGCAUGGUCGCGGCAAUGAUUGUCUCGCAGCAUUCGGCACUGGAGAGGCCACACCCUUGCUCCCCUCCAGCGGCGAGAAUGUUCUGCUUUCCUCCGUGUUGUUUGAAGAUUAACUGUGCGAAUUGUGCAGAGACAGCACAGCAGAUGAGGGAAAAAUUACAAGAAAAAAUCUGAGUGGUUGUUAACUGGAACCACAGCAGCUGCUUCGUGAUAACACAGUGCCAGGCACCACAGGAGAGCAGAAAUACUCUGUGGUCUGCAAGAGUCAGAAGGUUGAAGCAAGACAGGAAGGAGGUUGGAUCACCAGAGGAUAUGCCACUAAACUGGCCAAGGAUCUGCUGUGCUUUCAGUGCAUCAACUUUUGAAGUCUUGAGAGCAUUUAAGGAGAAGGUAGAGUAUAAAUCACUGUCAUUAAAAAGAGAAAAAGAGACAGAGGUGGUCAGCAAAGAGGGUGUCUUAGAUUGGAAACGGGUGUGUGUAUUCUAUUCCUGUCUGUAGGGUUAUCUUCUGUUAAUUGGGCAGUUUUCUUUAUCUCUUCUACAACCAAUCCUCUUUCUGGGAAAUAUUUUCUGUUAAUGUGUCAUUGAGUGUCACUGCAGGACUGAUAGAAUU
rnacentral:lncRNA from 1 species